AACGAACGCUGGCGGCAGGCCUAACACAUGCAAGUCGAACGGACGUAGCAAUACGUUAGUGGCGCACGGGAGAGUAACGCGUGGGAACCUACCUUUUGGUUCGGGAUAACAUCGGGAAACUGGUGCUAAUACCGGAUAAGCCCUUCGGGGGAAAGAUUUAUUGCCGAAAGAUGGGCCCGCGUUGGAUUAGCUAGUUGGUGAGGUAAUGGCUCACCAAGGCAACGAUCCAUAACCGGUGUGAGAGGAUGAUCAGCCUCACUGGGAACGGGACCCCGCCCAGACUCCUACCGGAAGCAGGCGUGGGGAAUAUUGGAAAAUGGGGGAAACCCUGAUCCAGCCAUGCCGCGUGAAUGAUGAAGGCCUUCGGGUUGUAAAGUUCUUUUGGUGGGGACGAUGAUGACGGUACCCACAGAAUAAGCUCCGGCUAACUUCGUGCCAGCAGCCGCAGUAA
rnacentral:rRNA from 1 species